UACGAAGGGGGCUAGCGUUGCUCGGAAUUACUGGGCGUAAAGUGUGCGCAGGCGGCAGAGCAAGUCGAGUGUGAAAGCCCCGGGCUUAACUUGGGAAUUGCGCUCGAAACUACUUUGCUGGAGUGUGGCAGAGGAAGGUGGAAUUCCACGUGUAGCGGUGAAAUGCGUAGAGAUGUGGAGGAACACCAAUGGCGAAGGCAGCCUUCUGGGCCAACACUGACGCUCAUGCACGAAAGCGUGGGGAGCAAACAGG
rnacentral:rRNA from 1 species